rnacentral:rRNA from 1 species
UACGUAGGUGUCAAGCGUUGUCCGGAUUCAUUGGGCGUAAAGAGCUCGUAGGCGGCUUGGUAAGUCGGAUGUGAAACCUCCAGGCUCAACCUGGAGUCGCCAUCCGAUACUGCCAUGGCUAGAGUCCGGUAGGGGCCCACGGAAUUCCUGGUGUAGCGGUGAAAUGCGCAGAUAUCAGGAGGAACACCGAUGGCGAAGGCAGUGGGCUGGGCCGGCACUGACGCUGAGGAGCGAAAGCGUGGGGAGCGAACAGG